rnacentral:hammerhead_ribozyme from 1 species
AUCCAGUCGACGAGUCCCGAAUAGGACGAAACGCACAUCCGGGAU